GGCUAAAUACAGUUUACACCCCUGAUGUAUGGGCCUUGUAACACUUACCCCCUAAUGUAUGAGAUGUACCACUUUCCCCCUUAGAGUUUUAGUUAAACGGUCAAACCUUGACGCCGUUAAAUUAAUCAGCCAAAUACCUAAAUAGCCCUCCAAUGCAAAAUACGGUGUUAAAGCAAACAGUCUCUUCGCCUUCUAGCAAAGAAACGUCUUCUGCCUCUCCCAAGAAAGAAAUCUGGCUCACUCGAUUUUUCUCAAUAAUGUUUGAAGGAUAAUUUUUGCUACAAGCGUUGGCCCAGGUUAGUUAAAUUUAGCCAUGGUAGUAUCAUUUACCAGUUUUAUGUGGGUUCAAAGUUUUCGAGAUAAUUUCUAUUUUAUUGCUAUUAUACUUUAUUUGAAAGUAGAUUGACAUUAUCGCAUACAUUAGAAUUGGGAAACUUUUUGUAUUUGCAAAAGUUUCGAAAAGAUUGUGUUGUAAAAAGUAUGGUUUUCAAUAAUGUUGAGUGAAUUUUGCAUGGGUAAUACAUUAUUUGACUUUGAUAAAUUGUCUCUGUUAGUUGUUAUUUAAUAGGUUUUUUGUGUUGAAAAAAAAUGUUUUGCAUUUUAUAUUAGGUUUUUUUUUUUGUUUUUUUCCUAUGCAAAUAUAUGUCUUUAUGUAUUUCGUAUGACUUAUACAAGCCAUUUUUAGUAAUAAAAAUGUUUGCUUUUGUUUGUAAUUUUUGGGUUUUUUUUGCCAUGCGAUUGUUGAUCAAAAGAUAGGUUCCAUAUUUAUUUAAUCCUGUUAUGUUGACUGCAUAUUUUCUAUAGUUUGUGUAAUUGAGCAAUUCUUUGUUUUUUCAUUGUGGUUACAGGAAAAUAUGGUAAUUCCACAAAUACCACAUGUGGUAGAAGGAGGAACUAGGAUGGAGGAUAUUGAUGAUGACGGCGAUUCUACUUAUAUGCCUGAAAGUGAAAGUGAAAGUGGGAGUGAUAUAGUUUCCGACUUUGAGUAUUUUGCUGAGAGUGAUAGCCUAAGUGACACAUGUGAUCCAAUAGGUGAUGAAUUCGAGCACAUGAAUAACUUCA
rnacentral:lncRNA from 1 species